rnacentral:rRNA from 1 species
AUUGAACGCUGGCGGCAGGCCUAACACAUGCAAGUCGAACGAGUGGCGGACGGGUGAGUAAUGUCUGGGAAACUGCCUGAUGGAGGGGGAUAACUACUGGAAACGGUAGCUAAUACCGCAUACCAUCGGAUGUGCCCAGAUGGGAGUAGCUAGUAGGGGGGGUAAAGGCUCACCUAGGCGACGAUCCCUAGCUGGUCGGAGAGGAUGACCAGCCACACUGGAACGGAGACACGGUCCAGACUCCUACGGGAGGCAGCAGUGGGGAAUAUUGCACAAUGGGCGCAAGCCUGAUACAGUCAUGCCGCGUGUAUGAAGAAGGCCUUCGGUUUUUAAAGUACUUUCAGCGGGGAGGCGUUACCCGCAGAAGAAGCACCGGCUAACUCCGUGCCAGCAGCCGCGGUAAUUC